rnacentral:lncRNA from 1 species
UUUAUAUAUUAUGCCUAUUUUUGAUGGUGAGAAGAUAUCAAGUAAUAUUCCUAGCUAGUAGCAAGAUUUAUAGGACAUUUUUGAAAAUAAAAAUACAAAUAUUCUUUUAAAACAUCAAUGCUAUGAUUGUUCAAUAGAUUUGCAAGAAAAAGCUCAAUUACCAUUUGAACCAAUCUAUAGCCUAUCAUAAAAUGAGUUGGCUACAGGAGAGGAAUAUAUUGAUGAAAAUUUGGCUAAGAAUUUCAUAUGCCAUUCUAAAACUUGAGCUGUUGUUGGAAUAGAGAGAAUUUGUCUCAAAAAAGCAUUAGGCUCUUAAUUGCUACUAAUUACUCAAUUAAGUCUUGAGAUAAAAAAGACCAAGUUUGU